UACAGAGGUCCCAAGCGUUGUUCGGAUUCACUGGGCGUAAAGGGUGCGUAGGUGGUGAGGUAAGUCGGAUGUGAAAGCUCGGAGCUCAACUCCGAAAUGGCAUUGGAAACUACCUCGCUCGAGGGUUGGAGGGGGGACUGGAAUGCUUGGUGUAGCAGUGAAAUGCGUAGAUAUCAGGAGGAACACCGGUGGCGAAGGCGGCUACCUGGACAGAAACUGACGCUGAGGCACGAAAGCUAGGGGAGCAAACAGG
rnacentral:rRNA from 1 species